rnacentral:rRNA from 1 species
AUACGGAGGAUCCGAGCGUUAUCCGGAUUUAUUGGGUUUAAAGGGUGCGUAGGUGGUUUGAUAAGUCAGCGGUGAAAGUUUGCAGCUUAACUGUAAAAAUGCCGUUGAAACUGUCGGACUUGAGUGUAAAUGAGGUAGGCGGAAUGCGUGGUGUAGCGGUGAAAUGCAUAGAUAUCACGCAGAACUCCGAUUGCGAAGGCAGCUUACUAAGCUACAACUGACACUGAAGCACGAAAGCGUGGGGAUCAAACAGGAUUAGAUACCCUGGUAUUCCACGCCGUAAACGAUGAUGACUAACCGUCGGCGAUAGACAGCCGGUGGCCAAGCGAAAGCGAUAAGUCAUCCACCUGGGGAGUACGUCGGCAACGAUGAAACUCAAAGGAAUUGGCGGGG